rnacentral:rRNA from 1 species
AUUGAACGCUGGCGGCAGGCCUAACACAUGCAAGUCGAGCGGAUGAAGGGAGCUUGCUCCUGGCUUCAGCGGCGGACGGGUGAGUAAUGCCUAGGAAUCUGCCUGGUAGUGGGGGAUAACGUCCUGAAACGGGCGCUAAUACCGCAUACGGCCUGAGGGAGAAAGUGGGGGAUCUUCGGACCUCACGCUAUCAGAUAAGCCUAGGUCGGAUUAGCUAGUUGGUGGGGUAAAGGCCUACCAAGGCGACGAUCCGUAACUGGUCUGAGAGGAUGAUCAGUCACACUGGAACUGAGACACGGUCCAGACUCCUACGGGAGGCAGCAGUGGGGAAUAUUGGACAAUGGGCGAAAGGCUGAUCCAGCCAUGCCGCGUGUGUGAAGAAGGUCUUCGGAUUGUAAAGCACUGUAAGUUGGGAGGAAGGGCAGUAAGUUAAUACCUUGCUGUUUUGACGUUACCAACAGAAUAAGCACCGGCUAACUUCGUG